rnacentral:rRNA from 1 species
CAUGCAAGUUGAACGAGAAUUUUUUAAUUAAUUUCUUCGGAAAGAGAUUAAAGAAGGAAAGUAGCGAACGGGUGAGUAACACGUGAGAAACCUGCCUUUCACAAAGGGAUAGCCUCGGGAAACCGGGAUUAAUACCUUAUGACACUUAGAUAUCGCAUGAUAAUUAAGUUAAAGAAUUUCGGUGAAAGAUGGUCUCGCGUCUGAUUAGCUAGUUGGUAAGGUAACGGCUUACCAAGGCGACGAUCAGUAGCCGGAUUGAGAGGUUGAACGGCCACACUGGAACUGAGACACGGUCCAGACUCCUACGGGAGGCAGCAGUGGGGAAUUUUGCAAUGGGGGAAACCCUGAUGCAGCGACGCCGCGUGAACGAUGAAGGUCUUCGGAUUGUAAAGUUCUGUCCUUAGUGAAGAUAAUGACUGUAACUAAGAAGCAAGCCCUGGCUAAAUACGUGCCAGCAGCCGCGGUAAUACGUAUGGGGCAAGCGUUGUCCGGAAUUAUUGGGCGUAAAGGGUACGUAGGCGGUAAUUUAAGUCUGAAUUUAAAGGCUGUGGCUCAACCAUAGUAAGGUUCAGAUACUGGAUUACUUGAGUAGAUGAGGGGAAAGUGGAAUUCCAUGUGUAGCGGUGAAAUGCGUAGAUAUAUGGAGGAACACCUGUGGCGAAGGCGACUUUCUGGAAUCUAACUGACGCUGAGGUACGAAGGCGUGGGGGCAACAGGAUUAGAUACCCUGGUAGUCCACGCAGUAAACGAUGAGUGCUAGUUGUCGGGAGUCAAAUCUCGGUGACGCAGCUAACGCAUUAAGCACUCCGCCUGGGGAGUACGUACGCAAGUAUGAAACUCAAAGAAAUUGACG